UAAAGGCUACAUUGUUCGUACCUUUAAUUAAGUUUUUCACCUAGUUAGAAUUUAGGGAGUUUUACAUUGAAACUGAAAUGACAAAUCUCUGUCUAUAAGACAUGGAGGACAAGCAGGAAGGUUUCUGCAAACACCCACUUAGUCAAGUGGUGUAUAAAACUUCUUUAAGUUAGAUACGGCAAAUGUGGCUUUUAA
rnacentral:other from 2 species